AAGAAAAAAAGAAAAAAGAACCUGAGAGACUACGUUUAGGCAAUAUUUUCUUCUACACCAACAUUUCUUUUCGUCGAUCACUAGUUAUUUAAGAGUUUCUUACACUCCGUCGAGGAGCGUUCAACACGACCGGGGAAUGUAUCGUUGCGGCAACCUAUGGUGAUUAAAAAAAGCACUCGCGUCUCACAUUCGCGACCCCAACGAUAAGGGUAAGUCGAAAAUCGUACGGUCAGUCCAACGUUUUCAGGGCCGCCAGGUUAACGUCACGAAAUCCACCGACACAACCAUAGAUCCCAAACGGUGGACGGACGGACGUAAGGACGGACGGCUGGCUGGCAGCAGGCAAGGCGGAAUCACAGAGAGGUCCGGGGGGAGAGGCAUUGAAUACGGCGGGGUGAGGGUAAAGUUUUUGGGCGAGGGGCAGGUGGGGUUAUAAGGGGACGGGGACGUAUGAGACAAAGUGGGGGGAAAACGAACGAGAACGAGCGAGCGACCGAACCGACUGACGACGUAGCGUCGCGGGGGACGGAGGUCUACGCUAGCUCAGGACCGUUACAUUCAGGUCCCCUCAGUGCCACUACUUCUCGUCGAACACAUAUUUUUCCCUUUUUUUCUCAUUUUUUUGAUGUAUAUUAUUAUAUCGUUGGAUCUUAGAUCUGUAAGAUAAUAUAGACAGACUUUUAAAUAUAGUAAAUUAAUGGAAAAUAUGAAAAGUUUAUUUUAGAUAAUAACGGCAUGUUGGAAAGAGAGAUCCAUGUAUACAACCCUAAAGAUCUCCGCGACUUAAAGGUGAUAGUUUAGAAACGUAUUAACUAUAAUGUUGUAAGGUUUUACAAUAUGUUGUAUGAAAUUGUUUGUUUGGUAAGUUCGUAGGAUUCACAACACCAGAACUAUAAAGUUUAUGCUAAAGAAAUUUAAGUUGAAGGUAUAUGAAAAAAUAUAUAAAUUUUGUUAUCAUACGAACUGGAAUCCUCAAUUAUGCACAUACAUACAUACAUAAUCUUAUGAUCAUUCAAAUUCCUAAAAAUAUAUUGUCGAUCUAUGAAAUUUCCAUGAAAAAUUAUGAAUUAGUUAUUUUAAUCACUAAUAAUUCUAGUGUUAACUUACAUAUAUAUAUGACAAAACGCUGAUCUAUGCAAAAUGCUGUUGUAUGUAUGUAUGUAUGUAUGUGUGGAUAAAAACUGCUUUUAAUUGACAAUUAAAUGUAACUGAGAAGAAACACUGGAAAAAGUAUCAUUAUUUAACAAAAACGUUUGAUCUCAUAUCUUGAUGAAAAAAUUAAGAAAUGUUAGAUGUUAGAUCAAAUGUUCAAUUUCAUCUUUUUAUCAUGAAUUUAUUAUUUCUGUCCGACUAUCAUUUAUUAUGAUAUUUAUAAAAUUUUUUCUUUUUAUGGCAAGAAACUAAGUAUUCCAGUAGCGUAUAUACAUUAUAUUUACAUUUUUUUCAAAUUUUAUCGUUUACUAUUAUAUAUUUCAUUAUUCGUGCUAUUCGAUAUACAUAUUUCAAGUACUGCUAUUUACAUUCAAAUUUUCAUUCAUUUUUGUUACGCGUUCUUUAAUCUAGGCUUUCACUUAGAAUUCGGAAUUUUUAUGAACUAAAUAGAUAAUACAUUAGUACCUAUUUAAUACAUUUAGUAAAAAUGAAAAAGACAAUGGGAAAUAUACUAUGCCAUACAAAUACUUUAGAUUUUUUAUUGAUAUAAAAUGAUUCGAUGUAAAGUACGAUAAAAAGUAAAAGAUGAUUAGUCGAAUGCAGAUGAUUUUAAUUCUAAAUAAAAAGUGGCAUUAUAGCUAUAA